GAUGAACGCUGGCGGCGUGCCUAAUACAUGCAAGUCGAGCGGUAAGGCUCCUUCGGGAGUACACGAGCGGCGGACGGCUGAGUAACGCGUAGGAACGUACCCCAAACUGAGGGAUAACUGCUCGAAAGAGUAGCUAAUACCGCAUGUGCUCUACGGAGUAAAGCUACGGCGGUUUGGGAACGGCCUGCGUACGAUUAGAUUGUUGGUGAGGUAAUGGCUCACCAAGUCGACGAUCGUUAGCUGGUCUGAGAGGAUGAUCAGCCAGACUGGGACUGAGAACGGCCCAGACUCCUACGGGAGGCAGCAGUAGGGAAUUUUCCACAAUGGACGAAAGUCUGAUGGAGCAACGCCGCGUGCAGGAUGAAUGCCUUCGGGUUGUAAACUGCUUUUGUACGGGAGCAAUAAGGUCUACGAGUAGAUUGAUGAGAGUACUGUACGAAUAAGCAAUCGGCUAACUCCGUGCCAGCAGCCGCGGUAAGAUAGCGUA
rnacentral:rRNA from 1 species